rnacentral:rRNA from 1 species
UGCCAGCAGUCGCGGUUAAACCAAGAAAUUCAGUCAUUCUUUCACGGUAAAAAGACAGUUAUACAAGUAACAUGAUCAUUAGACCUUUAGUAGAGGAGUAAAAUCUAUAUACUAAAAGUUAUACUGGAUAUGAUUUAUUGAAGAUGUUGAAUCUGUGACAGCUUUAAGGGAAACUGGGAUUGGAUACCCCAUUAUUUUUAGUCGUAAAUUUAGUUUAAACUUACCAGAGUACUACGAAUAAAAAAUUUAAAACUCAAAGGGCUUGGCGGUGUUUUAGACCUCUCAGGGGAACCUGUCUCGUAAUCGACAAUCCACGUUAGACCUAACCCUUUAUGGUAAUUCAGCCUGUAUACCGUCGUCGUCAGGUAACUUCUUAAAAUAUAGUAGUUAGCUCGAGAACAUUAUUAAUUAAAACGUCAGAUCAAGGUGCAGCUAAUAAGAGGGUGAGGAUGGGUUACAAUUACAGAUUUGUAAAUACGGAAAACAUUUGAAAUGGAGUGUUUUAAAGGAGGACUUGAAAGUAAUUUUGAUUAUAUAAAUAAGAUGAAUAAGGCUCUGAAACGUGCACACAUCGCCCGCCACUCU